CUGCAGCCAUUAAACAUAAUCAGCUAGACCCGCGUGUGUACAUUGACCCAACAUCCCUGGUGUAUUCCUUUUUUUUUUUUUUUAGAUUUUAUUUAUUUAUUUGACCCAGAGAGAGAGAGCAAAAGAGCACAAGGAGGGGGAGAGGCAGAUGGAGAGAGAGAAGCAGGUUCCCCGCUGAGCAGGGAUCCCUAUGCGGGGCUCCAUCCCAGGACCCCGGGAUCAUGACCUGAGCUGAAGGCAGACACUUAACCACCUGAGCCAUCCAGGUGCCCCUGCCCAAGGUAUAUUCUUAAGGGUAGAAACAAGUUUCAGAAUAAUGCAUGUGGUAUGUAUGCUCGUAAACAGACAAAAAGCGAAAACAAAACAAAACAAAACAAAAACAAGCAAAAACCACCUGCCCCCUUCAUCCAAAGAAACAGAAACCCAUAUAUUUUUGUUUGUGUUGAGAGACAAGAUAAGGAAGCUUUACCCAGUAGACUCUGGCUUCUCUGCAGGCUGGAAUUGAAAGGAGGCAGCAAGAAAGAAGAAAAAGAAGUAAGAGCUGCCAAGGGUGAGGCCCAAAAAUAAACAGCUCUGGACAGCCCCAACUCUACAGGGACUGAGGGGAGGCCAGACUGGGACGAAGGACCCUUGAGAGGGAUGUGAAGAAGAAUGGCUUCUACCUACUGCAUAGUGCUAUCAAGGAGCACCCAGGGCCACCACCACCCCAAGCAGAGGCAUAGAGGUCUGUAAUAUCACUAGGAGGAGACCUCUGAGACCUUUUGCCACAGAGGCCCUAUAUGAGAUCCCUAGUUUCCCAUCCAAUGACAGAAAGUAGUGUCAUGAAUUUGAAACCACCCAAUGCCUAGGAGACUCAAUCCUAGAGAGCGUGUUUAGGGCAAACUAUAUUCAGAUGUCACAUCCACUGUGUUAAAGGACUCCUCUUUACAGCUCAGAGCAUUUAUCUUUGUUGCCAAACAGCUGUGGCAGUGAACAAAGAUGCCAUUACCUACUCUUAUCAUUUCUUACCUGCAGAAUCACCAGGACAUGGAUUCCAGUUGAGUCUAUGGUGGUCCCUUCUAUAGGGCGGAGGAGCCAGCAACUGGAAAAGCCAUUUUAUCUCUUCCACUUUUGCAAAGAUAAAAGUAAAGCUGAGCUUAAGUAUUGAAAGUUUUUGCCUUAAAGUCUCAUCUCCACUAUAAACAGAGAGAACCAGAAUAUCAGAAUUCAGAAAAACAAAGAUGAAAAUGCAAAUAUCCAUAAAGAAAAUGACAAAUCAAACGAUAUUAAAUCUGAAAGAAAUAGAAUCUUGUUUUUAAAGGCAAAUGUGAUCUUUCUCCAGCAGGAUAUAAUUUUUUUUUUGGCUCUUUUGUCACAAAUAAAUCACUAAGAAACAAUAGCA
rnacentral:lncRNA from 12 species